CCCUUAGAUGUUCUGGGCCACACGCGCGCUACACUGACGGAUUCAACGAGCUUACAACCUUGGCCGAAAGGUCUGGGUAAUCUCCAAAAUCCGUCGUGAUGGGGAUAGAUUAUUGCAAUUAUUAAUCUUCAACGAGGAAUGCCUAGUAAGCGCAAGUCAUCAGCUUGCGUUGAUUACGUCCCUGCCCUUUGUACACACCGCCCGUCGCUCCUACCGAUUGAAUGGUCCGGUGAAGCGUUUGGACUAUGGUUUUCUGAUGGUCCGCCGUUGGAUUACCGUGGGAAGUUCGUUAAACCUUAUCAUUUAGAGGAAGGAGAAGUCGUAACA
rnacentral:rRNA from 1 species